rnacentral:rRNA from 1 species
CGGUGUUCAACUGGCGUGUCCGCGGGACGUCCUGCCGGUGGGCUUAGCCCGCAAGGGCGGCCCAACUUCAAAUCCCAUCGCGGUGCUCUUCACUGAGUGUCGAGGUGGGCCGGCACGUUUACUUUGAACAAACUAGAGUGCUUAAAGCAGGCUAAAACUUCGCCUGAAUACUGUGUGCAUGGAAUAAUGGAAUAGGACCUCGGUUCUAUUUUGUUGGUUUUCGGAACCCCGAGGUAAUGAUUAAUAGGAACGGAUGGGGGCAUUCGUAUUGCGACGUUAGAGGUGAAAUUCUUGGAUCGUCGCAAGACGGACAGAAGCGAAAGCAUUUGCCAAAAACGCUUUCAUUGAUCAAGAACGAAAGUUAGAGGUUCGAAGGCGAUCAGAUACCGCCCUAGUUCUAACCAUAAACGAUGCCAGCUAGCGAUCCGUCGACGUUCCUCCGAUGACUCGACGGGCAGCUUCCGGGAAACCAAAGCUUUUGGGUUCCGGGGGAAGUAUGGUUGCAAAGCUGAAACCUAAAGGAAUUGACGGAAGGGCACCACCAGGAGUGGAGCCUGCGGCUUAAUUUGACUCAACACGGGAAACCUCACCAGGCCCGGACACCGGAAGGAUUGACAGAUUGAGAGCUCUUUCUUGAUUCGGUGGGUGGUGGUGCAUGGCCGUUCUUAGUUGGUGGAGCGAUUUGUCUGGUUAAUUCCGAUAACGAACGAGACUCUAGCCUGCUAACUAGGCGUAUUUUCGACAUCUCAAAGGUCCGUCGUCCCGGCCCUCGGGUCGUGGGCGUGCGCGAUUUUUACUGUCGGCGUACUAUCAAUUCUUCUUAGAGGGACAGGUGGCUUCUAGCCGCACGAGAUUGAGCAAUAACAGGUCUGUGAUG